CAUGGUUUUUUGAAAAUAAUUUAAAAUUUAAUCUGCUCAAUGAUAAUUUAAAUUGCCGCAGUAUAUUAACUGUGCAAAGGUAGCAUAAUAAUUAGUUUCUUAAUUAGAAGCUGGGAUGAAUGAUUGGACGAUAAAAUAUCUGUCUCUAAAUAAUUUAUUUAUUAAUUUUAUUUUUAAGUUAAAAGGCUUAAAUAAUUUAAAAAGACGAGAAGACCCUAUAGAGUUUUAUAAGAAUUAUAUAUUUUUAUUUUAGUAAUUUAUUUAAUUAAUUUUUAUUUAGUUGGGGUGAUUAAAAAAUUUAAUUAAUUUUUUUAAAUUUAAAUUUUUAAUAUAAAAAUUUUUAAUCUAUUUUUUUAAAUAUAAAAUAAAUUACCUUAGGGAUAACAGCGUAAUUUUUCUUUAAAGUUCUUAUUAAAAGAAAAGUUUGCGACCUCGAUGUUGGAUUAAAAUUAAUCUUAGGUGCAGUGGCUUAAGUAUUGAGUCUGUUCGACUUUUAAAAUU
rnacentral:rRNA from 1 species